UGCUUGAGAAUAUCCAAAAAUUUGUAUAAAUUGCUAUCAUGAUUAGGUGGCUAUGAAAAUGAGUUUAGCUUUCCCUUAAGUAGCAAAGAAUAGGUCAAUUAAAGCUUAGUUGUCCAAGUUAAAACACAAAAAUCAUUUUCUUAAUUAAGCUAUAUGAUCAUCUUGAAACAAACUAGGAUAAACAAAUAAGGAUUUAUUGAAAGAAAAAAUCGCGGACAAACUAGGGGC
rnacentral:lncRNA from 1 species